UGCUGAAUUGUACAGGUACCUCUAAGUGGACCCGAACCUCCAGCUUUUCUGUUAGCAGCAUGGCGCUCAACUGUCUGUACCAUGCAAGGCCUCCAGGACUUGAGACAAGCCCUUCUCCACUUGCACAGAAACGCAGUGCUUUGCUGUCUGCGCGUGUCCAACAUAGUGCCUGGGACACAGGAGGAGCACCAGGCCCAUAGUGCCUGGGACACAGGAGGAGCACCAGGCCCACAGCGCCUGGGACACAGGAGAAGCAUCAGGCCAAGUGGGCGGUAGACACGCAGUGCUGUGGAGCAGUAACAGCCGUCGUUCGUGCUGCUGUGGCUGAAUUCUAACCUUUUCUUCCUGACUACUGUUUUCUUCUGUUUCUUUGGAAGAAAAUUACCUCUGGAAACUUUUGAUAAACAAGCCUGAAAAUGGGCCUCAUUUGUGUUUUUCUGGUGUCUAAAAUUCUUGUAUGUUUGUGUUUUUUCCCUCUCCCAGAAAUCACAUGGUGCUUGGCUUGUCAGUUGUUCCUGGAUUCUCCGUGUCUAACUCAGUGCCAGGCACUGAAUAGGAGAUAGUGAUAUACGUACACAUACACAAAACACCAAGGAGCCCUGGUGGCACAGUGAUGAAAUCACUUGGCUGUUAACUGAAAUGUUGGUGGUUCAAACCCACCAGCCCUUCCACAGGAGAAAGAUGUGGCAGUCUGUGUCCAUAAAUAUUUACAGCCUUAGAAAACCUAUGGGGUCACUAUGAGUCUGACUUGACUCAACAGCAGUGGGUUUGGUUUGCAUAAAAGCUACUGUAGAGUUAGCCCCUGACUCACAGCGACCCCACAAGCAACGGAUCCUACUGCUGUGAUCCGUAGGGUUUCCAUCGGCUGAUUUUCAGAAAUAGAUUCCCAGGCCUUUCUUCCUAGUCUGUCUUAGUUUGGAAGCUCCACUGAAACCUGUUCAGCAUGACAGCAACACACAAGCCUCCAGCGACAGACAGGUGCACUGGCCGGGAAUCAGACCUGGGUCUCCCACGUGGAAAGAGAGCAUUCUACCACUGAGCCACCACUGCCCCCCAGAAGACGUAGAUGUAUAAAACCAAAAAAAACCCAGAGCUGUUGAGUCGAUUCUGACUCAUCGUGACCCUACAGGGCACAGAAGAACUGCCCCAUAGGGUUUCCAAGGAGCGGCUGGUGGAUUUGACCCGCCGACAUUUUGGUUAGCAGCUGAGCUCUUAACCACUGUGCCACAUAUACAUAUAUAAGACACAUGUAUGAGUAUGUACACGUAUACACAGAUGAGACAUGUGUAUGUGUAUGUAUACAUAUAAGGCAUAUGCAUAUGUACACACACAUAUGUGUAUUUAUGGAUAGGCAGUCAUAGUUCACUCAGAGAUGCCUACUUCGGCUAGAGCUAGCACCCUGUGAAAAAUGAGUUUAUUCACGGUUCUUUUCUUCAUUCUGUGUGUGUUUAUUGAACACCGACUGAGUACAGCUUAUUUGCCAGUCACAGUUUAUGACUCUGCUCGGCUCCACCAGCGGCCCCCCAUAGGCUUAAUGCGGCACGUGUGAUCCUUCUGAGGUCUCCAGAACGCACAGUUCUUACUUACAUUCAUUAGGCAAGCAUCUCAGCAGCAUUAGUUUUUUUCGAUCACUGAUCCUGCCAUUGUUAAACAUAAUCAGUACAUUUGUUUUUCUCAAUUACCAAUUUUAUGGUAGAGCUCUGGCAGUUGAACCUCCACCUUCUCUCGCUGGAAAAGAUGGUACUCGGCUUGCUCACAGACGGGUGGGAUCAUAUUGAACUGUCUUGCUACAGAAUAGGCUUCCUAGGGAGGAAUGACAUUGAAAGUGAAUUUAUGCUGAUGAGAAACAAGACUUCACAGUGGCUUGUACUUUAGUGAAAUCAGUACACCCCCAGAAGCAUAGAAGAUGCCAGAUAACAAGCAAAGUAAGAGCACAAUUUCACCAAGAGUGAUACCAAAUGUGGGGAACUUACGCUAUUCCUUGGAAGUCCAGAGGAAAUUACUCAAAGUAUGAAUUAUGGACUCUGAUAAAGAAAUGUGGUUUGGCUAUUUCUAGGUUCAUCAGGAAACAAAACUUAGACUGAUGUGUACGAAGGAUCUGCAGCCAGGACUUUACGAGCAGCAUCCACCAGUUACUGGUUGCCACCCCGUCAACUCUGACUCAUGGCGACCCCAUGCGUGUCAGAGUAGAACUGUGCUCCAUAGGGUUUUCAGUGACUGAUUUUUCAGAAGGAGAUUAUAGGCAUUUCUUCCAAAGUACCUCUGGGUGGACUUAAACCACCAACCUCUCAGUUAGCAACAAUCGCAUUAACCAUUGGACCACCCUAAUCCAUUGCCAUAGCGUGGAUCCCGACUCACAACGACCCUAUAGGACAGAGUAGAACUGCCCUAUAGGGUUUCCAAGGAGCAGGUGAUGGAUUCAAACUGCUGACCUUUUGGUUAGCAGCCGAGCUCUUAACCACUGUGCUGCCAGUUUGUAUUUGAUAUAGUUAUUUUUUUUUUUUUAAAGAAAACUAGAAUACUCUGUUCAUAUUUCUCAUUAGCAUUGAAAUUCAUUUUACCCUCUUGCCAUCAAAGAGCACGCCAAACCUUGAUUCCUGCUAGGGACCCAGGGCCCUUUCUGUUGUAUUCAUUCUGCGGAGAUCCAGCCCCAAUAUCCAUCUCUAUCAUGAUGAAAUUGAUCACGGAAUGCCAGCGCCAUAAUGAUUGUGAGAACAGUUUGUGAAAGGUCUUGCAACUUACAUAUGGUAUGUGAUGGACAACAAUAAGGUAGUCAACGGCCAUUGGAAAACAGAAGGUAAAGUACCAUGAUCUCCAUCGCACUCCACCGCGAGGUGCCCCAGUACAUUGCCAUCCCUUGGUUUAUCACGUGUGUCAUGGCUCGAACGAUUUCUAGGGAAGGCCAGAUAGAGAGCAGUUCAUGGGUUCUCAACGUCUCAAAGUUACAUGGUCUGGUUUUUUUUUUUCCUCCCCCAAAGUUAGAACUUUAAGGCAAUUAUUUCUUUGAUUAAUAUACCUGUUUCUGUCAAGUGGAUUCCAACUCAUAGCGACCCUAUAGGACAGAGUAGAACUGCCCCCAUAGGGUUUCCAAGGCUUUACGGAAGCAGGCUGCCACAUCUUUCUCCUGUAGAGUGGCUGGUAGAUUCGAACUGCUGACUUUUCGAUUAGCAGCUGAGCGCUUAACCACUGCACCACCAGGGAUCCUCUUGAUUAAUAUAGUUACUUUAAUAUUUCCAAACCAAAAACCCACAGCUGUAGAGGCGAUUCCUCAUAGCAACCCUAUAGGGUUUCCAAGGCUGUGUACCUUUAAGGAAGCAGACUGCCACAUCUUUCUCUGUGGACUGAUUUAACCACUGGGCAACCAGGACUCCUGACUUCAGUAUUAUGACAACAUAAUAGUCUACCAUGAUACAUUGAUGGUUUGGAGGCCGGCAGUACUUUCAUGUAAACUGACAUUCCAUUUUGCAGCAACGGUGUUAAAUGAUACUAGAAGCAUAAUGACCAUUUGAAGCUCUUCUUUUACUUUGCUUCAUGGUUCCUGGCCUCAUAAUCUCUUUCAGAACCUGGGUACCUUGCCGGCUAAAGUGAGAAGUAAGAGAAAGCACCCGUUUUGACUUUGUAGGAUGUAACAUCAUUGAGGGUAGAGGGCCGGUUGCUGGGAGUAAGAUUUGCAGAGCUGGGCCUGCACAGUGUGGCUGUUUAAUAGAGACCACCCAACACCAGUGAGUUAAGCAGAAAGAUCAACAUAUUAAACACUGAACAAACAGCUGCAACCGCAGUGCCUCAAAGCCCGCGAUGGCACGCCUUGUGCCUGACCCCUUGGAACCAAGCCUUGUUCUAAGAUACCCACGUAAUUGAUUUCCUGGGGCCUGCCCAGGGCCCCACCCAGCUUGCUCAUCAGCCUCUUCCAGCUCGACAUCACACUUCCUAAACAGGAAGACGAUCCCUUCCACUGAGAGGUGGAGCUGAGCAGACAUGGUACAGAGCCAGAGAGUACAGAGAGUCACGAGGUCAAAUUAGUGAGAAUUCACAGACAGAGCUGGAUUUCUUCUACAAAGCAGAGUCGUGCCAAGCAGAACCCGGAGCUCCCAGCAACAAGAUGAGCACAAAACACUUGGCUACCUGGAGGUCACUGAAAGAGAAGCUCAGGUGGAGAAGAGAUUGUGACUCUUCCUGUGUAUCCAUUCACUUACGCAACAGGAACACAGGCCACAAGCAGCUCCCCUGUUCCCUCAUUCAUCCCUGUAACCUUGGAUGAUACAACCUUUCUUGCUGAAAGCGAAGAGGACUUGAAGUACAUACUGAUGAAGAUCAAAGACCACAGUCUUCAGUAGAGAUUACACCUCAACAUAAAAAUCCUCACAACUGGUCCAAUGAGCAACAUCACGAUAAAUAGAGGAAAGAUUGAGUUGUCAAGGAUUUCAUUUUACUUGGAUCCACAAUCAACACCCAUGGAAGCAGCGAUUAGGAAAUCAAGUGAUUUAUUGCAUUGGGCAAAUCUGCUGCAAAAGACCUCUUUAAAGAGUUUAAAAACAAAGAUGUCACUUUAAGGAGUAAGGUGAGCCUGACUCAAUACAUGGUAUUUUCAAUUGCCUCAUAUGCAUGUGAAAGCUGAACAAUGAAUAAGGAAGGCUGAAGAAGAAUUGAUGCCUUUGAAUUAUGGUGUUGGUGAAGAAUUUUGAAUCUACCCUGGACUGCCAGGAGAAUGAACAAAUCUAUCUUGGAAGAAGUGCAGCCAAAAUGCUCAUUAGAAGCAAGGAUGGUGAGACUUGCCUCACGUACUUUGAACAUGUUAUCAGGAGGGACCAGUCCCUGGAGAAGGACAUCAUGUUUGGUAAAGCAGGGGGUCAGCAAAAGAGAAGAAGACCCUCAGAUGGACUGACACAGUGGCUGCAACAGUGGGCUCAAGCAUAACAACGAUUGUGAGGAUGGCGCAGAACCAGGCAGUGUUUUGUUCUGUUGUACAGAGGACAGCUAUGAUUCGGAACCAACUCGACGUCACCUAAUAACAACCUUAGCACGCAGCUGCCCCCCAUAAAGGCUGCAAUGAGUGGUGUGAACUGAGACAGGUCUGCCCAGCUCUGGCACCAUCACGCCAUGCGUGACCUUAGCAAGCGGUUUUUACUUCUCUGAGUACUGGUUUCGCCCAUCUGUAAAGUGAGGAUAAUAUUGGUUCUGUGGGAUUCUCUCAAAGCUUGAAAUGAGAUAAUGUGUGUGGACUAACUGUGAAUCUGAAAGUAACACGAACUGAGUGACUGGUGAGCGAGCAGGAUGUGGUCUCUGGUUGUGACUUCUCAAAUAGACACAGCCCCUAACAUUAGUGACCAAAAAAAAAAAAAAAAGACAUUCUUUUUUUAAUUAUGUAGGUCAUCUAUGUUUAGGAAUGUACAUUUUAUACCAAAGAACUAAAGCUAUUUCAUUUUGUAUGAAAAAAAAAUUUUUGGUUGGUGAACAUUUUUUUUAAAUUAACCCUCAUGCAAAAAAAUCGCUGGUCACAUUAAACCUCUCUUCACGUGAAAGGUCCCUUCGAACUUUGAAAGUUGUUAAGCAGAUAGCUAUACUGCAUGAACAAUAAACACUAAAGACUAAAACCAUCAGGCCCGUUGCCAUCGUGUUUUGACUUGCAGCGACCCUAUGUGACAGAGUGGAACUGCCCCUUAGGGUUUCCGAGGCGACAGCCUUUACAGCAGCAGAUCACCAAGUCUUUCUUCCUUGGAGCAGCUGGUGGGUUUGAAUCUCCAACCUGUUGGUUAGCAGCUGAGCACUUAAUCACUGUGCCACCAGGGCUCCUUAUAAAGACUAAAGAUAUGCAGAAAUGAUUGUUUUGCUCAAAUAAAGUAUACUUAAUCUGGCCAUAAAACCAAAACAACCAAACCCAUUCCUGUCAAAUUGAUUUCGACUCACAAAGACCCUAUAGGAUAGAGUAGAACUGCCCCACAGAGUUUCCAAGGCUGUAAUCUUUCUGGAAGCAGACUGCCACAUCUUUCUCCCGCAGAGCCAAUGUUGGAUUCAAACAGUCCACCUUUUGGUUAGAUCCCAUAUAGACAGUUCUUAAAAGAGCGUAAUGCUCACAGCAGACCUUUUUUACUAGUUAAACCUGUUGUCGUAGGGUCGAUUCUGAACUGCCCUAUAGGGUUUCGAAGGAGCAGCUGGUGAAUUCAAACUGCUGACCUUUUGGUUAACAGCCCGAGAUCUUAACCACUGUGCCACCAGGGCUCCUUUUAGGGGUUAAGAAGCUAUACAUUUUUAAUAUUAUUUCUUCCUCUACCAGACAUAUACUCUUUAACUCCAGCAAGGGGGUGACUGUUCAUCCUACAUUUAGAUAAAAAUGGCCGAGUAGCUCACUCUAGGCAACGACACAGCUCUCUGAUCUUUCAGUACAGCUCUAUCCUCAUUAUUCCCUGUAAUUCUCUCCUCACCACCUCCAGUCUUCCCAGCCUCUAUCUAGAUCUCAUCAGCCUCCUGACACUUUCCAAGAAAUAAUUAGGUAGAAGAUGGAUCAUUGAAUUUCACCUUUUCCUUGAGCAUAUUCCCACUGAUAAUGUGAUUUAAAACUAUCCACUCGUAACCCCUCCGUUUGACUAAUACUGAAUAGAAGAUGAAUGAGAUGCAACGGUAAUGAAAGAGCUGAUUGCUGUCCUGAUGAAAGGGAGGAAAAAAACCGAGGGAGCACCCACAAUGAGGAAGGGGUACAGUACUAUCACUGCAUAUGUCUCGUCCUAUAGGAUUUGCGAGCACCGAAUGAAUUCCAAUUCGUUUAAAAACAUGCAGGAGGAGAGAAAUUAAACUCAUGCCUGAAAUCCCUGCAAUGGGAGGAUUAAAACAAACAAACCAACCUAAGGGAAGUGAAAAUCCCAGGGUUGUUCGAUUUUCCUAAAUACCUGACUUAUGCGUUCAUCUCUUAAGCUUAACAUUAUAUCAUCCGUGGAUUAUAGGAAACUGGCCCUGUAAGUUAGCAUGCGGGGUUUCUUUGGCGAUGUUACUACAGUAAAUCAUUAAAAAAGGAAUUUUUACAGUUUGAACGGGUCUUUCCUUGACAUGUGGAAUAUCUCCCUGAUAUAAUUGAAAACAUUAAAAUUUGAAAAGGGAUGGUCUCUCUGUCUUCUAAAAAUUUUUUAAAAUUUGCUUUUGUCACUUAGAGUCCUUGGGUAGUGAAAAUGAUUUGCAUUUAUCUACUAACCUAAAGGUUGGUGAUUCGAACCCGGCUAGCUGCACUGCAGAAGAAAGGCCUGGUGAUCUGCUUCCAUAAAGAUUACAGCCAGGAAAACCCUAUGGAGCAGUUUUACUCUGUGACACAUGGGGUCGCCAUGAGUUGGAAUCAACUUGACGGCAACGGGUUUUUUGUUUGUUUUCUUUCCACUUCGGUUUUUGAUCCAUCUUGAGUUGUCUUUUGUGUAUUGUGUAAGGUAGGGAUCUGAUUUCCUUUAUUUCCCACAUUAUCAUGGAAGACCGAUAACCACUUUCCCAACCCCAUUUAUUGAAUAGACCAAAAAGCCAAACCCAUUCCUGUUGAGUCAAUUCCAACUCAUAGCAACCCUACAGGACAGUGGAACUGCCCCAUAGGAUUUCCAGGGAGCAGCUGGUGGAUUCUAACUGCCAGCCUUUUGGUUACCAGCCAAGCUCUUAACCACUGCACCAUCAGGGCUCACCUAGGAAUUUAUAGGUACCCUUUACUAGCUGUAACAUAUAAAAGGUCUAAAGACCAUAUCUUUGAGAAUUACUAGCUUUUUAUUUUGUGAUCCUCUUUAGCUUUUGGCUGCAGUUUUUCUUACUGAGAAAUGAAGAUGUCUCUAACUUCUUGAUGUAUAAACUAAGUUUUUUUGUUUUUUUUGAUGGAGUAAGUUUGCAAAACUCAAUUGAGUUCUACCUCCUAGUUCAGUAAGUAGCUCCAGGGGUCUUGAAAGCUUGUGAGCAGCCACCUAAGAUGCAGUGAUUGGUCUCUAUUCACCUGGAGCAGCAGAGGAAGAAGGAGACCCAGGAACUAGAGAAGGACAUGGACUGUAGGUCUAAUUGCCUCCAUAAACUACUACCUCCACUACCACGGGACCAGAAGAAAUGGAUGGUGCCUGACUACUAUUAUCGAAUGUUUUUUGGUUUUUAAUAUAAUUUGUUGUUGUUGAGAAUAUACACAGCAGAACAUAUACCAAUUCGAUAAUUUCUACACGUACAGUUCGUUGACAUUGAUUACAUUCUCCCAGUUAUGCAUCCAUUCUCACCCUCCUUUUCUGAGUUGUUCCUCCCCCAUUAGCAUAAACUCACUGCCUCCUAAAGUUCCCAUCUAAUCUUUUGAGUUGCUGUUGUCAACUUGAUCCCAUAUAGAUAAAAGAACACAAUGCUCAAGGCAGACAUUCUUUACUACUUAAGCUAAACUAUUAUUUGGUUUUAUGAAGACUUCAGGGGGUAUUUUUGGUUUAAGGUUUAAAGAUUAAAAAAAAAAAAAACUUUAAAGAUUAGCUCAGGGUAAAAGCUUCAGGGGCUCAUCCAACUUCCAUGGCUCCAGAAAGCCUGGAUUCUAUGAGAAUUUCAAAUUCUGUUCUGCAUUUCCCCUCCUUUGAUCAGAAUUCUUCUAUAGAAUCCUUCAUCAAAAUAUCCACUACUGAAUGUUUUGAUCAAGGGCCCAAUAGAUGGAUCCUCAGCAAAAGGAGGAAAAGUGUGGAACAGAAUAUCAAACUAAUAUAGAAAUCAGAUGUACUAGAUCCAUUGAGACUGAGGGAAUCUUUGAAUCUAAUGCCUGGAAAUAAUCUUUAAACCUUGAACCAAAACUAUCCCAUAAAACCAUCGUUAAAUUAAGCAACGGUUUAGCCCAAUUAAUAGAGAACAUUUGUCUUGAGCAUAGCGCUCUUAUAUAGAAUUAUCUAUAUGAGUGUGAACCGACAACAGUUAAUCUAAUGCACAGAUGAAAACUUAAAGGGGCAAAGAGGCUAAAUUAAUGAUGAAACAAUAUGGGCAGAGAUAGUGAGAAUGGUGACACAAUGUGAAGUAUGUAACCAAUGUCACUGAACUGUUCAUGUAGAAAUUGGGAAUGGAUAUAUGUUUGGUUGUGUAUAUUGUCACCAAAAAUAAACAAAAAAUUUGAAAAAAAUGUAAAAAAACCCAACUCAAUUGAAAGUCCUUCAAUUGUAAAAGAGAUUUACUGCCUCUUGUCACUGGAAGUGCAGAGGUGGCCUGUACUUCAGGGUUGGUUGUUCCAACAAGUUAUUGAGGACCAACUUGUUUUCUGACUCUCUGCUCCGCUACCCCAAGGCUGGUUUCCCUUGUGGCAUUGAGGUGGCUCUCAGUAGCAUUCGUAGCUGUGUGCUUCCUUGUUCAUACUUAGCUGGGCCCUUUUUCCACAGUGUUUCAAGCAAGACUCCUGAUGCUCACCCUGAUUGGGCUGCUUCAGUCACAUGAGUCAAUGACUGUGGCCAAUGGAAAAAAAAUGGGCUGACUGGUCCACCUUGGAAGUGGGAAUGGGCAAGGAGAGGGGAUGCUAGUCUUCUCUGGAUCAAUUCGCUUUAUGGGGUAGAGGUGAUCACACACAUGAAAACCUGGAUGCCUGAGAAAGGAGGGAUGGCUGCCGGGUAAGUGACCAACAAUUUCUACCAUGUUUGGAUGAGGUCUUGUUGAACACACGUGGAACAGAAGGGCAGGGAGGGGUCUAACUCUACUGAGUGCCUAGUAUGUGCUCCGUGUUUGGGGGCAUUUAAGUUCUACUAUAAUUCUGUGAGGUGAUAUUGUUAUGUUUCCAUCUUACAUUUGAAAAAAUUGAAUCUCAGAGAGAUUAAAAACUUGAAGGUAGUUCUGAAUUUUCCCACUAAAAUCAGCUCCAUCUGCUAAUCCCUUUUCUCAAACAAAACAAAACAAAUGACCUUUUUCCCUUUCCCUGUGCCCAUAUUUAUAUUUCAUGCCCAUCUUUUGGUUAUGACACUUGAAACACAUAAGGGAGUUGACAGUAUUGAUAUCAACUGAGGAAGCAAGCCCUCAGACUUGUCAAAAGGAAACGUAUUAUGCAAAACACUCACUAAAGAAUAGUUUUCCAACUGUUCAUUGAAAUGUUACCAAAUAAAUUUAACCAAACCCUACCAGCUUCUACAUGACAUCUAAUAUUUUUUAUGUCCAUUAUGAGUGGAACAGUUAUUUUUACACAUGGGCACAUUUGUCAUUGCAUUGUAGAUAUCUGACUCAAAUAUUGAAUUUCUCAUCUUUUAAAUUGUGUGAACAUCAUCCUCAUUGGUCAGUCAGACAGAUGUUGAAUCUUGACACGUAGCUUCUUAUUCUAUUAUUCUGUCUGGACCUUGUUAUUUAUACAACUGUCUGUGUAUCAGCUUCUCAGGACAGGCUUUUAACUUUAUGUGAAAAGAAAUUCUAACUUGUGGGUGAAAGAAUAAAGCAAAAAGCUUGGCAGAGGAUUGAUAAAAGUAAAAAAAUAUAUAUAUAUUUCUCCUAAUGAGAUUUUCUACUGGCAAAUUCAGUUUUAUGCCAUAAAGGGAAGCAAUCUCUAUUUCUUCUUUAAUAGUAUAAGGCUGGCCUUACUUCUUGGUUCUACCACAGGAGAUGUCUGGAAGGAGAUGCUAUCUUAAUCGUAAUGAUUUUAAAACCUCUACCCCUGCAGCCAAUACAGCUCACUGCCAGCCCAAACUCCAUGUUUGUUCUGCAGUGCUUAUUAUGUUUGUCGGGCAUCUGGUAACUCACCAAAAGGCAACCUGUAAACUUGACGUGGUGAAGUUGAAUGAUUUCUCAGCUUUUCAACAGUGAACUCCCUGGUAAAGAGGAGCAACUAAUCCUGUUAAUAUUUUAAACCAAAGCAUCUGUCACUUUCUACAUUAACAUUUAAGGCUGGGUGGGAUACAGACCCCAAAUUCUGGUAAAGAGACCAGACUUCAUGGUCUGGCUGAGACUAGAAGGACCCCAGAGGUCAUGGUCCCCAGAACUUCUGUUAGCCCAAGACAGGAACCAUCCCCAAAGCCAACUCUUCAGACAGGUAUUGGACCGGACUGUGGGACAGAAAAUGAUUCUGGUGAAGAAUGAGCUUCCUGGAUCAAGUAGACACAUAAGACUAUGUUGGCAUGUCCUGUUUGGUGGGGAGAUGAGAGGGCAGAGGGGGUCAGGAGCUUGGCUGAAUGGACAGGAAAAGAGAGAGUGGAGGGAAGGAGUGUGCUGUCUCAUUAGGGGGAGAGCAAUUAGGAGUAUAUAGCAAGGUGUAUAUAAAUUUUUGUAUGAGAGACUGACUUGAUUUGUAAACUUUCAGUUAAAGCACAAUAAAAAUUAAAAAAAAAUUUUUUUAAGGCUGGCCUAGGAGUGGCUGGGCAACUUUCACUGCAAGGAAAACCCUCUGGUGGGUCUGCAUUGGGAUGCCCCAUGUUCUAUUCCUUGGACCCAUUUCACUAUUAGACAUGUCUUCUUGGUUCUGAUCCCUUAGACUCUUUCUUUGGGGCUUUUCUUCCUUUUUCUGAGGAUCUUCUUCCUCCCUCACCCCAAAAUGGCAGUUUUCCCUUAUUUUCUCUGUUAGAGUCUUCUGCUAAGGAAGGAUUUAGCAACGUUUUUCAUGGUAAGACAGUGUUUCUUAAACUCUAUGAACAGUACCCACUGAAGUGGCUGCAAAAGCAAACAUCAUUGGACAGCUCUGACUUUAUCAUUAAAAUGUAUGCAAAUUAUUUAUUCUACACCAUAAGAAAGCAUUUAUUUUAAAACAGUAAUAAUAUUUUUCUUUACAAAUCUUUGAGUAAUACUUUGUGUAAAAUGCCUCUCAAUACAGUUUUCCACGUGGUCAAGCUUGUAAGAAACUCGGUUUCUUUUUGUUUUCCUGACAACAUCCCUCCUAACACUCUGUCUUCCUGCUACAGCCUGUACUGGUUGCUCUCUGUGUCUAAAGCAUAGCUGUCCUCCUGGGACCACCCUUCCCUCAUCCUGGAAAUUCCCUUCCUUUUCAUGGGAUGGCUCUUUCUGGCUUUUAUUCUCUCAUUUUGGUGACGUGCAUUUUCCAGUAACUUCUGAGAAAUUUGUUUGGGAGACAGAGAAGUCAAAAUGUCAUUAUUCCCUCACCCCUGACUGGUAGUUGUGCCCACCAGGUUGAAAAUAUUUUUGCUUAGAAAUUCGUAAGCCUGCUCCGAUACUGCUGUUGAGAACCCCUAGACAAUCCUUAUUCUUAAUCCUUCAUGCGUGUACUCUUUUAACCCUCUGGAAUACUUUAGUAUGUUUUCUUUAUCUUUGAGAUUGUGAAAGUUCACGUUGGUGUUACUCUAAAUGAAUCUCCAUUCACUGCGCUAAGUACUUGCUGGGCCCUCUCAAUCUAGAGACUCACGUUUCUCAUAUCUGGAAAUUUUCUUGUAUUAUUUCUCUGAUAACUCUCUCUCCCACCAUUUUAUUGGUUUUCUCUCUAGAAAUUCUUUACGUGAACAGAUGUUGGAUGUCCUGGACAGAACCUUAACUUUUUUAACUUUUCAUUUCUACUGUCCAUGUCUUUUUCCCUUCUACUUUCUGGGACAUUUCUUCAACUUUAAUAUCUAAAAUUUGUGUUGAUUUUGUUUUUACUUUAGCCAUUAUACUUUCAAACUGUAAAAUCUUUUUUUAGUUCUAUGUUGUUUUUGCUCUCUUUCAUCCUAUUUUUGUUUUAAUAAUGCAAUAUCUUCUCUUAUCUUACUGAGCAUACUAAUUAUAAUUUCUUUGAAAUUUUCUGUAUCUCUCUGCAUUCCUGUUUUCUAUUUAUUUGAGCUCUUUCUUUAAACACCAGGGGGUCCUUGGGUUUCUGUUCACAUUUAACAGUGAGGUACUAAAAUUGUGCUUAGAUGGUGUCAACAAGUUCAAUUCACUGUGGGAUCAUUUGGGGGACUUACUAUUUUUUUUUUUCUCAUUUGAGUUUUUUCCCCAGGAAUGUCAGUAUUUGUUAGACUGUUUUCUGGGACAGUUCUUUCCAGAGAAAUACUCUCCCAUCUUCUGCUUGGGGACAGUAUAACCUGGCUGCUAGUGACCUGGAGUGAGUGAGAGAAGGUGGAGGGGGGGUCUCAAAAUUCAUAAUCCUUUUUUCUUUUUCCAGUCUGACCCAAACUUCCUCUAUCUCUGGAACCCCCAAGAGCAGAGGCUCUCAACUCAGUUUCUCUAAUUCAUAUGCCCCUGACUCCCACAUGGGAGGAAAAAGGCAGGACCUUGACUGCAGACUUGGGGACACAGGGCUUCAGUCACUCCUUUUAAUCUUUCAAAUAACUACCUUGUUCUUAGUUUCUGCCUCACCCCAACUUUUGUGGCACUGGUGCCUGUAAUGCCUGAACCAUCCUGAGGUUGUGGGUACAAAUAUACUUGUUUCUCAUCUGCAGACACCUUUAAUAACUCUUUCGCAGCUCUGCUAAGUUAUUUAUGAUUGCUCCAUCCUUUUCCCACUUUCACUUAUGUUCGUGCAGGUGUCCAGUUUUCUGCUACUUUCCUCAGAGAUAGCGUUUCUAUUUUUGUUCCUUGUCCUCUAUGUUGUUUAUUUUAAAAAUAUAUAUAUAUUUUUAAUGCUGAAAAAAAAAUAUAACACAAAUUUGCCAAUUCAACACUGAUUAUUGGUGAUGGUUUUCUGGCGUACAAUCCAAAUUGCAGUGGUUGGGGUUUUAUAGCAUAUGAUGUUUUCCAGUAUUUGAAUAUUGGCAACCAAUUACUCCCCAAAGCAGAAGUGACACUUUCAAAGUUGUCAGAUUCCUGGAGAGGGGUUGUGGGGCAGAUGAGUGAUGGGGCACGAGAGAUGUCUCUGUGUAAUGUGUACCUUUUAUAUAGGUGGCCAAGUGCCUUACUCUGUAAUUUCUAGAGACUUUAAUCUUAGACAUGGCAUGCAAGGUUUCCCUAAACUUCCAAUUACUUUGGAUUUAAAGGUAUUUUCUUAUAAUCUAAACAAAUUUAUUUUAUGAAACUAAUGGAAGAGUUACUGUGUUUUGGAUGUGUAAUUUAAGUCAAAGGAGCCCUGGUGGCACAGUGGUUAAAGUGCUCGGCUGCUAACCAAAAGAUUGGUGGUUCAAACCCACCAGCCACUUCACUGGAGAAAGAUGUGGCAGUCUGCUUCUGUAAAGAUUAAAAAAAAAAAAAAACCCACUGCCAAA